rnacentral:sRNA from 1 species
AUGGAGAACCCUGAUCAUGGCGUGAUCUCUGCUUCCUGGCUGGACAGCUGUGUGCUAGCCUCUGCCCAUAGUCCCCACAGAUGCCAGGGCCUCAUGAUACUAACCAUGCUCCCUGGUGCUUUUGACCUCUCCACUCUGCCUUAGCCUCUUUCCUCUUCCUUUAUCCACCAGGAACAGAAUGGGUAGACCCAGAGGACCCCACAGUCAUUGCUGAGAAUGAGCUCCUGGGAGCUGCAGCCGCCAUUGAGGCUGCAGCCAAAAAGCUAGAGCAGCUGAAGCCCCGGGCCAAACCCAAGGAGGCAGAUGAGUCCUUGAACUUUGAGGAGCAGAUACUAGAAGCUGCCAAGUCCAUUGCAGCAGCCACCAGUGCACUGGUAAAGGCUGCGUCGGCUGCCCAGAGAGAACUAGUGGCCCAAGGGAAGGUGGGUGCCAUUCCAGCCAAUGCACUGGACGAUGGGCAGUGGUCCCAGGGCCUCAUUUCUGCUGCCCGGAUGGUGGCUGCAGCCACCAACAAUCUGUGUGAGGCAGCCAAUGCAGCUGUACAAGGCCACGCCAGCCAGGAGAAGCUCAUCUCAUCAGCCAAGCAGGUAGCUGCCUCCACAGCCCAGCUCCUUGUGGCCUGCAAGGUCAAGGCUGACCAGGACUCGGAGGCAAUGAAACGACUUCAGGCUGCUGGCAACGCAGUGAAGCGAGCCUCAGAUAAUCUGGUGAAAGCAGCACAGAAGGCUGCAGCCUUCGAAGAACAGGAGAAUGAGACAGUGGUGGUGAAAGAGAAGAUGGUUGGCGGCAUUGCCCAG